rnacentral:rRNA from 1 species
UACGUAGGCGGCAAGCGUUGUCCGGAAUUAUUGGGCGUAAAGCGCGCGCAGGCGGUCCUCUAAGUCUGAUGUGAAAGCCCACGGCUCAACCGUGGAGGGUCAUUGGAAACUGGGGGACUUGAGUGCAGGAGAGAAGAGUGGAAUUCCACGUGUAGCGGUGAAAUGCGUAGAGAUGUGGAGGAACACCAGUGGCGAAGGCGACUCUUUGGCCUGUAACUGACGCUGAGGCGCGAAAGCGUGGGGAGCAAACAGG